ACAUGCCUAUAGAAUAACGCUAAUGCACCAUAUCCCAUUAGAACUCUGCAGUUAAGCACACUCAUGCUAGAGUAGUACUGGUAUGGGUGACCUCCCGGGAAUUCCUAGUGUUUUACAUGCC
rnacentral:rRNA from 1 species